UACGUAGGGCGCAAGCGUUGUCCGGAAUUAUUGGGCGUAAAGAGCUCGUAGGCGGUCUGUUACGUCCGCUGUGAAAACCCAGGGCUUAACCCUGGGCUUGCAGUGGAUACGGGUAGACUAGAGGCAGGUAGGGGAGAAUGGAAUUCCCGGUGUAGCAGUGAAAUGCGCAGAUAUCGGGAGGAACACCGGUGGCGAAGGCGGUUCUCUGGGCCUGACCUGACGCUGAGGAGCGAAAGCGUGGGGAGCGAACAGG
rnacentral:rRNA from 1 species